CGAGCACGCGCGUGUGGCAUAUCAAUAAGCGGAGGAAAAGAAACUAACAAGGAUUCUCUUAGUAACGGCGAGUGAAGCGGGAAGAGCUCAAAUUUGAAAUCUUCAAGGUUCUACCUUGACGAAUUGUAGUUUAUAGAAGUGUUUUCUGUUAGUGGAGUGGCAAAAGUUCUUUGGAAUAGGACAUCAUAGAGGGUGAGAAUCCCGUAUUUGGUCAUUCCUCCUAGCGUUGUGAUACACUUUCAACGAGUCGGAUUGUUUGGGAAUGCAGUCCAAAAUGGGUGGUAAAUUUCAUCUAAAGCUAAAUAUUGGCGAGAGACCGAUAGCGAACAAGUAGCCGUGAGGGAAAGAUGAAAAGAACUUUGAAAAGAGAGUUAAACAGUACGUGAAAUUGUCAAAAGGGAAGCGUUUGACACCAGUGUUGUUUUUCCGAAAAUCAAUUACGAAUGUUUUGUUUUUAAGGAGUUAUGACUUCAUCGGCUUGCUCCUUUCUUUACUGAAACUUUCUUAAUGCACUUUUCGGUUAACAAGUCAACAUCAAUUUCUUUUGUUGUAAAAGGGUAUGAGGAAGGUGGCUUUCUUUUCGGAGAAAGUGUUUAUAGCCUUGUGCCUCUGCAAUCGGAGAGAUUGAGGUCUGCAGCGUAGAUCCUUCGGGGUUAGAUACGUUUGUGCUAAGUUAUAGCUUUUCAUAGACAACUUGUUGACUAUGUUUAGUCUUGUAGCUUACUCGCUGACGCUAUUUUACCUACGCUUAGGAUGUUGAUGUGAUACUGCGAGCA
rnacentral:rRNA from 1 species